rnacentral:rRNA from 1 species
UAGUCCACGCAGUAAACGUUGUUCACUAGGUGAAGCGGGUAUUAACUCCUGCUGUGCCGCAGUUAACGCAUUAAGUGAACCGCCUGGGAAGUACGAUCGCAAGAUUAAAACUCAAAGGAAUUGACGGGGGCCCGCACAAGCGGUGGAGCAUGUGGUUUAAUUCGAUGCAACGCGAAGAACCUUACCUGGAUUUGACAUCCUAGGAAUUUUUUCGAAAGAUUGAAGUGCCCCUUGGGGAGCCUAGUGACAGGUGCUGCAUGGCCGUCGUCAGCUCGUGUCGUGAGAUGUUGGGUUAAGUCCCGCAACGAGCGCAACCCUUGUCUUUAGUUACCAUCAUUAAGUUGGGGACUCUAGAGACACUGCCCCGGUUAACGGGAGGAAGGUGGGGAUGACGUCAAGUCCUCAUGGCCUUUAUAUCCAGGGCUACACACGUGCUACAAUGGGCUGUACAAAGGGUUGCAAACCUGCGAAGGUGAGCUAAUCUCAAAAAGCAGUUCUCAGUUCGGA